GACGAACGCUGGCGGCGUGCUUAACACAUGCAAGUCGAACGAUGAAGCCUUUCGGGGUGGAUUAGUGGCGAACGGGUGAGUAACACGUGGGUGACCUGCCCUUAGCUCUGGGAUAAGCCUGGGAAACUGGGUCUAAUACCGGAUAUGACUCCAUGACGCAUGUUGUGGGGUGGAAAGCCUUGUGCGGCUAGGGAUGGGCCCGCGGCCUAUCAGCUUGUUGGUGGGGUGAUGGCCACCAAGGCGACGACGGGUAGCCGGCCUGAGAGGGCGACCGGCCACACUGGGACUGAGACACGGCCCAGACUCCUACGGGAGGCAGCAGGUGGGGAAUCUUGCGCAAUGGGCGAAAGCCUGACGCAGCGACGCCGCGUGAGGGAUGACGGCCU
rnacentral:rRNA from 1 species